rnacentral:lncRNA from 1 species
GGCGGAGGCUGUGGCCGUCACGGAGCUCCUAGGAAGGUACUGUGACAGAAAUAAGAAUCAAGUGCUACAAUGACAACCUAUUUGGAAUUUAUCCAACAAAAUGAAGAACGAGACGGGGUCAGGUUCAGUUGGAAUGUUUGGCCAUCUAGUCGUCUGGAAGCUACAAGAAUGGUUGUUCCAGUGGCAGCCCUGUUUACACCUUUGAAGGAGAGACCUGACUUACCACCCAUUCAGUACGAGCCUGUCCUGUGCAGUAGGACGACUUGCCGUGCAGUUUUGAAUCCUUUAUGUCAAGUUGAUUAUCGAGCAAAACUCUGGGCUUGCAACUUUUGUUACCAAAGGAAUCAGUUUCCACCUACAUAUGCUGGGAUAUCUGAAUUGAACCAGCCUGCCG